rnacentral:lncRNA from 1 species
CACAUGUUUUCUUGGUUCUGUGUCAGCCAUGAGAUGAGGUCAUCUCCUCACCCACCCAGCUGACCUCUCAGAGAACUCUUAGUUGCUAACUUACCAAAGGAGCCACAACUCUCUCUUGAGGAAGUGAGUAAUGGAUAAGAACCAAGUCUCAGUUUCCUCUAGUUGACCACAAAGCCAUGCUCUGAUCCAGAGGCCCAGUGGCUGUUGAGAAAGGGAUUAAACAAGCAUCUCUCACAUCUCUCACAUUUUAGAACACUGUUUACAAUCACUCACACAAAUUCUGGAAAGUUGGAUAAACACUCUUGUUAAAGUUAAAACCUUUCUUUUUUAUUUAGACAGAAAAGAGGAGAUGAUGGGGAGUGUCCUUCUGUAUGCUGUAAAUUGCUGUGAAUAUAUGUUUCUCUUACUGGUUGAUAAAUAAAGCUGUUUUGGCCAAUGGACAGGCAGGAUGUAGCCAGGCAGGAAGUAUAGUUGGAGCGACCAGACUGGGAGAAGGCUAGGAGGAGGAACGCUGACACCAUGUAGCCACUGAAGGAGUAACAUGCUGGAGCACUGGCUCUGGGGGCAGAACACAUAGGAUUCAAAGCCAACUCUAUGAUAUGUCUGACUUAGAUAGACAGUGACCUUCUCCUGGCAGAUGCUCUGGAGCCACCAGCUUCCUAACAUCUGGCACCGUUGCUACUUGGAAAACUCAGAAACUCAGCAGACAGCUGGACUUUGCAUGUAGUGGGGUCUCAGUGGAAAUCUCCAGUCAUUAAGGCUGAGUGUCUCAAAUGAUGCAACCCAAAUCUGUGCUCUCUGGCCCUGAGAGUCUGGGAUGACCUUGGAAUUUAGAAGACCCGCAUCUGUCCAGCCAAAGCGGAAGCACUGGAGACAAUCAACAGGAACAAACCACACAUUUGCCUUGAAUUCACCUGUCUUAGGAGCUAAUAGAAAAGAUGGUGGCUUAAAUGCAAUGCCAAUAACACGUAAAAUAAUUAAUAAACUAAGAAAAGAAGGGGAUUGACUAACUUUCUCAAGAUAUUGACGAAUCAGCAGGCAGCAUCAUACCUCACGAUGAAGGACUAAAGAUGAUUCUCCUAAAACCACAAUCAAAGAAAAGGUGGGGCUAAAAUCAAUAUCUUUCAUGCUGCCAAGUGCUCACAAGAAAG